GGUUUCACCUCAUAACUGCUUAAAAAUAAUCAACUGUGGUGUGGAGUGAAAACUGUGGAAAAAACAGGAAAGGACACGCCACCAGCUUAGCMGUAUUUCAAAGUACUGCGUUUCUAAGGCGGAGCUAGGUCCACCCAGGCGUUUUGUACAGCUCAAUGGUUGCCUCGGGAGAUUAAAGGAUUUCUCAAACAUGCAUGAAAGAAUCAAGUAAACACUCCAGAGAUUGUUGGGGAAAAGUCGCCAAACCUCCUCAGUUUUAUUCAUGACUYCAAUAAACUUUUUAAAUGUU